rnacentral:hammerhead_ribozyme from 1 species
GAGCGAAACCUCCUGCGGGAGGUCGUCCGGGCGUGGCGGCCCGGGCCUGAUGAGCAGCCGAGG